UAACCGUAUAGGGGAGCCGUAGGGAAACCGAGUCUUAACUGGGCGAAUGAGUUGCAGGGUAUAGACCCGAAACCCGGUGAUCUAGCCAUGGGCAGGUUGAAGGUUGGGUAACACUAACUGGAGGACCGAACCGACUAAUGUUGAAAAAUUAGCGGAUGACUUGUGGCUGGGGGUGAAAGGCCAAUCAAACCGGGAGAUAGCUGGUUCUCCCCGAAAGCUAUUUAGGUAGCGCCUCGUGAACUCAUCUUCGGGGGUAGAGCACUGUUUCGACUAGGGGGUCAUCCCGACUUACCAACUCGAUGCAAACUACGAAUACCGAAGAAUGUUAUCACGGGAGACACACGGCGGGUGCUAACGUUCGUCGUGAAGAGGGAAACAACCCAGACCGCCAGCUAAGGUCCCAAAGUCAUAGUUAAGUGGGAAACGAAGUGGGAAGGCUCAGACAGCCAGGAUGUUGGCUUAGAAGCAGCCAUCAUUUAAAGAAAGCGUAAUAGCUCACUGGUCGAGUCGGCCUGCGCGGAAGAUGUAACGGGGCUAAACUAUGCACCGAAGCUGCGGCAGCGAUAUGUAAAUAUUGUUGGGUAGGGGAGCGUUCUGUAAGCCUGUGAAGGUGUACUGUGAGGUAUGCUGGAGGUAUCAGAAGUGCGAAUGCUGACAUAAGUAACGAUAAUGCGGGUGAAAAACCCGCACGCCGGAAGACCAAGGGUUCCUGUCCAACGUUAAUCGGGGCAGGGUGAGUCGACCCCUAAGGCGAGGCAGAAAUGCGUAGUCGAUGGGAAACGGGUUAAUAUUCCCGUACUGGUGAUAAUUGCGAUGGGGGGACGGAGAAGGCUAGGCUGGCCGGGCGACGGUUGUCCCGGUUUAAGGAUGUAGGCAGGUGAA
rnacentral:rRNA from 1 species